rnacentral:rRNA from 1 species
GAAUAUUGGACAAUGGGGGGAACCCUGAUCCAGCCAUGCCGCGUGUGUGAAGAAGGCCUUUGGUUUGUAAAGCUCUCUAAGCGAGGAGGAGGCUACUCUAGUUAAUACCGAGAGAUAGUGGACGUUACGCGCAGAAUAAGCCCCGGAUAACUCUGUGCCAGCAGCCGCGGUAAUACAGAGGGUGCAAGCGUUAAUCGGAUUUACUGGGCGUAAAGCGCGCGUAGGUGGCCAAUUAAGUCAAAUGUGAAAUCCCCGAGCUUAACUUGGGAAUUGCAUUCGAUACUGGUUGGCUAGAGUAUGGGAGAGGAUGGUAGAAUUCCAGGUGUAGCGGUGAAAUGCGUAGAGAUCUGGAGGAAUACCGAUGGCGAAGGCAGCCAUCUGGCCUAAUACUGACACUGAGGUGCGAAAGCAUGGGGAGCAAACA